GAGUGUCGUUUUAAGUUCCAUGCAUGCAUGUAUUUAGUAACGGCCUAACUUAAGUCCUAGGGGGUCGAGUCGUUACAGUUGGUAUCAGAGUCCACGUUUUGGGUUCUAUAGACUGACUUACUAUAUAAGUCUAGAUUGUCCCUGUGGCCCAGUACAGAUUCCUCGUCAUUGCCAGGUAUGUCGUACUAAUGAAAGUUUCAGUGUAUAUAUGAGAUUAGUGAUGUAGUGUUUUUAUAGCAUGAUUUCUGUGAAAGACCCAGAGAUAGAUAGUUAAUUUAUGAGUUCAUGACAGAACAUGGCACCUAAACCUAGAACAAGAAAGACCGUUAGAGGAGGGGUGCAAGAAGAGGGAGUUGAGUGUAGCCAGACUGUCCCGACAGCUCUAAAUCCACCUAUAGCCCAAGUCGAUGAGAAGGCAAUGGAAGCCAAAAUUAGUGAAGCUGUUGCAUCCUCCCUGAUGGGAAAACCGCAAGAGCUGAUUCGUAAAAAGAUCUCAAGAUAGACUGCCAAAAACCAGGCUCAGAAGGAACCGGUGCCACCCGAGCAGUUACAGCAGACCCGACCGUAAGAUAGAGACAUGCAAGGCUUGUCUCUUGAGGCUAAACAUUUGAGGGAUUUCAGGAAGUUUGACCCUCGCUCCUUUGAUGGAUGUUGGGGGACCCCACCAAAGCAGAGAUGUGGUUGUCAUCUAUCGAGACAAUUUUUUGUUUUAUGAGGUGCCUAGAAGAGCACAAGCUUCAAUGCGUAGUUUUCAUGUUGAUUGGCAAUGCAGAAAUCUGGUGGCGUUCAGCAAAGAAAAUGAUUGAUACUGGUGGGAAACUUGCAACUUGGGAGCAAUUCAAGGAGCGCUUUUAUGAGAAGUAUUUUACGGCUAACACCCGAUACAACAACUAGACAGAAUUCUUGAACUUGAAAUAGGGAGUUAUGUCGGUGGAGGAGUAUGAACAGGAAUGUGAUAAGCAGUCCCACUUUGCUCCUAAACUAGUAACCACCAAGGAAGCGAGGACUGAAAGAUUCAUCCAGGGUCUGAGGAGCGGACUGCGAGGUAUGGUACAUGCCUUGGACCUCAAGAAGUACGCGGCGACACUGGGGCCACCGUGAGGAUCGAUACUGACUUCCAGGCAGGAGAAGAGUACAGGAGGCCGCUCGGGAUUGGGACCUCUGCAGGUCAGAAAAGAAAGGUUGAACCCAGGGCUCCUGAGCAUCAGCAGAGGAACCAGAACACAGUUAAUGCACCACGUCAAGGAGGAUAGGCCGAUAUGCACUACUUGUGGUAGGCGACACUGGGGAUGAUGCCUAGCCGGCUCUAAGGUCUGUUUUCGAUGUGGCUAGAAGGGCAUAUGUCAGAGAAAUGACCAAGGAGGAAUGUGUCUGAACUCAGGAGCCAACCUGUAAGCUCGUUUCAGGGAGGCUCGAGUUUUCAACAGUAGUAGGGUAGGGUGUUUUCUACCACUCGGCGUGAGGCCGAGAAGUCAGGCAUAGUGGUGACAGCCGCCCGUCCUCCUCAGCCCGACUAGACCACCUCCACCCGAGCCCUGUAGCAGGCCUCCAUAACCGCUCGCUGUUGCACGAUCGAGCCGCCGUCAACAAGCACUGCUCCUCUGCGCGUCACCACGAACCGACCAGCGUCGCUCCAGACGCAUCUGCAUCCGAGUCAUCGCCGUCAGCGUCGCGCCUCUCCUUCAAUCGACUAAAUCUACGUCGGAUUCCUCCUGUUAUCAUCGUCGUUGCUUGUGCCGUCAUCAGAUUAUCAAUUUGGGGUCUUACUUGGAGUUGCUGGUUUCGUUGGUUGUCUAAUAUUAUCUGCGGAUUUUCAAUUUAGGGUGAAUUCAAAGCUUUCCAAGAGUUGUAAGAGGGUUAAUUACUUGGAUUAAUUUGUGACCAAAUUUGAGCUCUAUUGAAGCAACAAGGUCUCGAUCUCAAGGGAUUAACAAAAAGUGCACUAGUGAAUGAGGAAGUUCCACUGUUGCUGGAGGGAGGCGGGAAAAUGGAGGUAUGGUGAAUCAAUGGCAGUGCCAAAACUCCAUUGCUUGCAGAGGAUAUUGGUAAAUUUUAUAGUGGAGACUACUACAUCAUUCUUUACACCUACCACUCUGGUGAGAGGAAAGAAGAUUAUUUCUUGUGCUCUUGGUUUGGAAAGGAUAGCAUCGAGGAAGAUCAAAAGAUGGCUACACAGUUGAUGAAUACAAUGUCCAACUUGCUGAAAGGGAGGCUUGUUUAGGGUUGUAUAUUUCAAGGCAAAGAGCCACCCCAAUUUAUUGCCCUCUUUCAACCUUUUGUGGUGCUCAAGGGUGGCUUGAGCUCUAGUUACAACAAACUCAUAGCAGAUAAAGGAUUGGCUAAUGGAACUUACACGGAAGAUUCUAUUGCCCUUAUUAGGAUAUCAUAAACAUCCAUUCACAACAAUAAAGCAGUGCAAGUUGAAGUUGUUGCAACCUCACUGAACUCUACUGAGUGUUUUGUUCUACAAUCUGGCUCUUCUGUUUUCUCUUGGCAUGGAAACCAAAGUACAUUCGAGCAGCAACAGUUAGCUGGGAAAAGUUGCAGAGUUUCUAAGGUGGUCAAAAAAAGAAGCCUAUAACCAGAUACUGCUAAAGCUAGGGGGUUUGUUCAAGAAGAAUUAUGAAGGGAUCCAUACUUACCAAGUGGAGAGGGACAGUAAACUCAUAAUGUUUGUAAAAUCAUAAUCCUUGUAUUACUUAUAAUUUGUGUUUUCAAGGCCUGAAUUAUUGUA